rnacentral:rRNA from 1 species
UGGGAACGUACCCUUUGGUUCGGAACAACCCAGGGAAACUUGGGCUAAUACCGGAUACGCCCUUCGGGGGAAAGGGUUCAUUGCCGAAAGAUCGGCCCGCGUCGGAUUAGCUAGUUGGUGGGGUAAAAGCCUACCAAGGCGACGAUCCGUAGCUGGUCUGAGAGGAUGACCAGCCACACUGGGACUGAGACACGGCCCAAACUCCUACGGGAGGCAG